rnacentral:rRNA from 1 species
UACCAGCACCCCGAGUGGUCGGGACGAUUAUUGGGCCUAAAGCAUCCGUAGCCGGUUUUACAAGUCCUCCGUUAAAUCCAGCUGCUUAACAGAUGGGCUGCGGAGGAUACUAUAAGACUAGGAGGCAGGAAAGGCAAGCGGUACUCAGUGGGUAGGGGUAAAAUCCGUUGAUCCAUUGAAGACCACCAGUGGCGAAGGCGGCUUGCCAGAAUGCGCUUGACGGUGAGGGAUGAAAGCUGGGGAGCAACCGG